UGGAUCCAGACUUUGAUUAUGGCUCAGGAUGAACGCUAGCUACAGGCUUAACACAUGCAAGUCGAGGGGAAACGAUAUUGGAAGCUUGCUUCCGAUAGGCGUCGACCGGCGCACGGGUGAGUAACGCGUAUCCAACCUGCCCACCACUUGGGGAUAACCUUGCGAAAGUAAGACUAAUACCCAAUGAUAUCUCUAGAAGACAUCUGAAAGAGAUUAAAGAUUUAUCGGUGAUGGAUGGGGAUGCGUCUGAUUAGCUUGUUGGCGGGGUAACGGCCCACCAAGGCGACGAUCAGUAGGGGUUCUGAGAGGAAGGUCCCCCACAUUGGAACUGAGACACGGUCCAAACUCCUACGGGAGGCAGCAGUGAGGAAUAUUGGUCAAUGGACGAGAGUCUGAACCAGCCAAGUAGCGUGCAGGAAGACGGCCCUAUGGGUCGUAAACUGCUUUUAUAAGGGAAUAAAGUUAGUCUCGUGAGACUUUUUGCAUGUACCUUAUGAAUAAGGACCGGCUAAUUCCGUGCCAGCAGCCGCGGUAAUACGGAAGGUCCGGGCGUUAUCCGGAUUUAUUGGGUUUAAAGGGAGCGUAGGCCGGAGAUUAAGCGUGUUGUGAAAUGUAGACGCUCAACGUCUGCACUGCAGCGCGAACUGGUUUCCUUGAGUACGCACAAAGUGGGCGGAAUUCGUGGUGUAGCGGUGAAAUGCUUAGAUAUCACGAAGAACUCCGAUUGCGAAGGCAGCUCACUGGAGCGCAACUGACGCUGAAGCUCGAAAGUGCGGGUAUCGAACAGGAUUAGAUACCCUGGUAGUCCGCACGGUAAACGAUGGAUGCCCGCUGUUGGUCUGAAUAGGUCAGCGGCCAAGCGAAAGCAUUAAGCAUCCCACCUGGGGAGUACGCCGGCAACGGUGCAACUCAAAGGAAUUGACGGAA
rnacentral:rRNA from 1 species